rnacentral:miRNA from 1 species
AAGAAAAGAGGGGAGGAGGAUGGGAGGGAGAAGUAACAAAAGUGAAACCCAAAACUAAAAGGUGAAAUCUAUCUGAAAUGUUUACACUUUUCAAGUUUUUGUUUUCACUUUUGUUACUCCUUCCUCCCAUCAUCCCCUCUUAUCCUCGCU